AAGCUGCUGGAAGCCUUUUCUCCACACUGUUGUACUGAGCUGUUCACCUCCACUAGAGGGCCACAUUAUCAAGUAGGCGGUGCACGUCUUCUGCACUGUGUUCAACCAUCCAGUCAAUAAGAAGUGCUGCUGUGAAGAGAACCAUCCUCACACUGAAUGCUGAACAUCAGCUACUUCCUGCUGCUGAUUUAAACCUUGUUGUAGAGAUGGAACAUUGGCUGUGGAUUAUUCUUGCUGCUCUCUCCUUUGAGUGUAAAGGACAAGACACAGUGACCCAGCCAGCAGGAGAUGUCAGCGCUACUGAAGGAGACACAGUUACACUUGGCUGCACAUUUCAGACCUCUGACACAGUUCCCCGUCUGUUCUGGUACAAACAAGAAGUCAAUGGUUACCCAAAGUACAUGCUGAAGCGUUUCUCGGGAACUGGAGAUAAUGCUGAAGAGUUCCAGAAAGACAGAUUUGAUGCUACACUCAACAAGCCAUCAGUUCCUCUGCAGAUCUCCUCUGCUACAGUGACAGACUCUGCUGUGUACUACUGUGCUCUGCAGCCCACAGUGACAGGAAACACCACAACUCUGUACAAAAACCUUUGGAGCAAAGACAACACAAUACUGCACAACAUCCACCAGAGGGAGUCUCUCUCUGUUCAAACUCAAUAGUUUGUGAUCAUACAGUAAUGUCAUUUACCUGCUUGAUCAUUUGAAAUGUAUGAACUAUUGUUCACUACCAUACAUGUACUGCCUUUGAGUCACAUCCACAGGUUCAAAUGUUUAAAUCAAUCAGUGAAUCUGACCUUUUUCUCACAGGUUUAAAUAUAAUGUAGUCUCCAAGAACUUAAAAUAAGUGUUUCUAUUUUUCUGUCAGUCUGUGAUUUCAUGUGGUGUACCACAGGGUUCAAUCCUAGGUCCUCUCACUUUUUAUUUACAGACUGCGUUUGGAUAUGUUACCCAGGAGGAAGUGUAAC